UCCCUUCCAUCCACCUGUUUCCAUGUGUCCCCAUGUCCCCAUACCCCCAUGUCCUGAUAGCUCCAUGUCCUGGUGUCCUCAUACCACCAUGAUUUCCCCACAUCACCAUGAUAUCCUCAUGUCCCCUCCAUGUCCCCAUGUCUCCAUGAUUUCCUCACUGCCCAUGUCCCCACUGCCCUCUCACUUCCCAGUGUCCCCAGAUGCCGUGUCCCCGGUGCCACAUAGGAUCAGCCCCACACCUUAGUGCCUCACCGCACUGGAGAGAACUCAGGGAUGAGUCCUUGGAUGAAGCCUUGAUGUGGGGACGGCAUCAUCUCGGGGUGGUCCUGGGGGACAGAAAUGCCGGGGUGUGCUGAGUGCUGGGACUUGGGGGCUUUGGGCUCAGUGCCAUCGGGAUCCCAGCACUCGGUGUUCUUCCUCUGAUCCCUGGCUUCCCCCUAUGCCCCGGGGACAGGGCAGGGGAUGGGGCUGAGCCUGCAUGCCAGGCUCAGUCCAUGCCAGGGGAGUCUGCCAAGCCCAGGGGCAUUUGGAGUUGUGGGAGGGGCUCUGGGAGGAUAAAUGCAGCCCUGGCCUCCUGUAGCCUCACCCAGCUCCCAGAGCACGGACGAAGAUGAAGGCGGCUGCGCUCAGCCUCGUGAUGCUCCUCUCUGCCCUGUGCUGCACAGUGGAAGCUCAGCCAGCUGUGGAUGUACAGCCUGCGGAAGUUGCUGCGGCGCUGCCACCUGACAAUUUUGAUCUUGAUGACCCUCUCGUUCGCAGUCGCUUAUUGGAGAAUGCCCUGCGUGUGAGACGCGUGGCCCUGGAUCUACAUGUCUAGUGAUGCCCUUUGACAUCCUCUGAUGACCAGUGCUGCCCUCUGAUGACCAGUGCUGCCCUCUGAUGACCAGUGAAGGCCUUGAUGUUCAAUGACACCCUCUGAUGAUCAAUAAAUCCCCCAGCAAAGCUACA